UUCGAUGUUCGGGGCCGCACGCGCGCCACAAUGAAGGAAUCAGCGUGUGCUYKCCCUGUCCGGCAGGACUGGGUAAUCCGCUGAACCUCCUUCGUGAYAGGAAYAGGGGCUUGUAAUUGUUCCCCUYGAACGAGGAAUCCCCAGUAAGCACGAGUCAUAAGCUCGUGUUGAUUACGUCCCUGCCCUUUGUCCACACCGCCCGUCGCUACUACCGAUUGAAUGAUUUAGUGAGGUCUUUGGACUGGCGCUCGUGCUUGGCCUYCKGGCCGGGUCGAAGUGCCGGAAAGAUGRCCGAACUUGAUCAUUUAGAGGAAGUAAAAGUCGUAACAAGGUAUCC
rnacentral:rRNA from 1 species